AAAAAAAAAAAAAAAAACAACGAGUUAUAUAAGAAUUAAUUAAAGAUACAAAGUAUAAUUUACGUAUUUAACUAUUCAUUUAUGAUGAAAGACCUAAGUUUUAGAACAUUCCAGAUAUAGCCAGCUAUUAUUUUAGCUGAAUACACUGUAAUGUUAUUUAAGGUAUGAGUUACAGUAUCAAUAUCGGCUAUAUAAUUAAUGGAUGAUUGUUUCAUACAAGAAUAUAUUGGACAAUCAAAAAGUAUAUGUUCAAUUGUUUCUAACUCCUUAUUGUUACAAAUAGUACAGAUUUCAUUAGGAUUAAUUUUAUAUGUAGAAUCCUUAUAAGUGAACGUUAAGCAGAAUGAAUUACAUAAUCGAAGCUGUGCAAUAGUUCUUGUAAUCUGGAUGGGCAUUUUUAGGCAUAAGUAUUUUUGACUUAAUUCGGAAAGAGCUAGGUGUUUAUAUAAGGGGAGAAAAUUGGAUUGCUGACAAAGAGAAAUAUCUAAUUCUGAGAGCUUAUUUUUAAAUUUGAUUAACAAGGCUUUUCUAUUCAGUUGUAGGGAAUGAAGGGAGAGAUUAUUCCAAAUAGGUUCAGCAUCAAUAAAAGUAAAAAGUGAUUUUACCUGCGCUGCCCAGUUAUACCUGCUAUCGGUCUCCAUCAGUUGUAGUUGACGAAAAAAGCACAUUUUGGGGUAACGGGAAUCGUCCAUCAUAUAAAUUUUCUUUAACCAGUUUAGUGUCCACUUGAAUAUAUUAUACAAGAGUUUGACUCUGCCGCAUUCCACUCUGACUAUGUAACCGGGUGUGGAUAUGGGAAGCAUAAGAAUUCGUUUUAGGAAUUGUACUUGAACUUGUUCGAGAACAUCUACAUAACGGAGUGCCCAUACAGAAAUACAAUUGGAGAUUGUACUUGUUACUAAUGCAUCAAAAAGUUGUAGCCUCGUUUGCAUGCAGUCAAUUUUAAGUUUAGCUAGAACAGGUAUAAGUGCUCCAGUUGCUUGUUUAGCUUUCGCAUUACUCACAUCUGCCAUUUCACGGAAUAGAGACGAAGAGGCAAAAGUCACUCCAAGAUUUCUUCUGAUAGAAGAUGUUUAAUUAAUUGAUAUGGAAAGACACCUUCUCACCUUAAAAAGUAUGAAAAAACUCUUGAAGGGCCCAAUUCAAAAUACAAUUGACAAUGGCGAAGUGCUUAGGGACUCAAAAAACCAAGCAGCAACUUAAAAAAAUUCAUAUUAGUAAUGGUAGCAAAAACUGGAACUAUAAAAAUGUUAUGGUAUCAGAUGUUUAAGAUUUAGUGUCAUAGCUAACUAGGUAGAAUAUUGUAUGUUUUUAUUAUUAUUUUAUGCACCAACAAUCGUAACUACGUAGGUAUUUUGAUAACUCAUCCAAUAUUAAUAAAUUAAAGAUCAGUCUAGAUUAAUAUACACUUUUUUUUGAAAAA